AUUGAACGCUGGCGGCAGGCCUAACACAUGCAAGUCGAACGAGUGGCGGACGGGUGAGUAAUGUCUGGGAAACUGCCUGAUGGAGGGGGAUAACUACUGGAAACGGUAGCUAAUACCGCAUACCAUCAGAUGUGCCCAGCUGGGGUUAGCUAGUUGGUGGGGUAACGGCCCACCAAGGCGACGAUCCCUAGCUGGUCUGAGGGGCUGACCAGCCACACUGGAACUGAGACACGGUCCAUGCUCCGACGGGAGGCAGCAGUGGGGAAUAUUGCACAAUGGGCGCAAGCAUGAUGCAGCCAGGCCGCGUGUAUGAAGAAGGCCUUCGGGUGGUAAAGUACGUUCAGCGGGGAGGAGGUACCCGCAGAAGAAGCACCGGCUAACUCCGUGCCAGCAGCCGCGGUAAUUC
rnacentral:rRNA from 1 species